CCAAUAGCGUAUAUUAAAGUUGUUGCAGUUAAAAAGCUCGUAGUUGAAUUUCGAGAUCAAUUUGUUGGUCGUGCCUCGGUACGUACUGGCAAUUUUGGUUUCUCCCUUCUGAAGAACCAUGAUGUCAUUAAUUUGGUGUCAUGGGGAAUCAGGACUGUUACUUUGAAAAAAUUAGAGUGUUUAAAGCAGGCUCGCGCUUGAAUACAUUAGCAUGGAAUAAUGAAAUAGGACGUUUGAUUCUAUUUUGUUGGUUUCUAGGAUCGACGUAAUGAUUAAUAGGGAUAGUUGGGGGCAUUAGUAUUCAAUUGUCAGAGGUGAAAUUCUUGGAUUUAUUGAAGACUAACUACUGCGAAAGCAUUUGCCAAGGAUGUUUUCAUUAAUCAAGAACGAAAGUUAGGGGAUCGAAGACGAUCAGAUACCGUCGUAGUCUUAACCAUAAACUAUGCCGACUAGGGAUCGGAUGAUGUUAAUUUUAAUGACUCAUUCGGCGCCUUACGGGAAA
rnacentral:rRNA from 1 species